GUGGGGAAUAUUGGACAAUGGGCGAAAGCCUGAUCCAGCCAUGCCGCGUGUGUGAAGAAGGUCUUCGGAUUGUAAAGCACUUUAAGUUGGGAGGAAGGGCAGUAAGUUAAUACCUUGCUGUUUUGACGUUACCGACAGAAUAAGCACCGGCUAACUUCGUGCCAGCAGCCGCGGUAAUACGAAGGGUGCAAGCGUUAAUCGGAAUUACUGGGCGUAAAGCGCGCGUAGGUGGUUUUGUAAGUUGGAGGUGAAAUCCCCGGGCUCAACCUGGGAACUGCUUUCAAAACUGCUGAGCUAGAGUACGGUAGAGGGUGGUGGAAUUUCCUGUGUAGCGGUGAAAUGCGUAGAUAUAGGAAGGAACACCAGUGGCGAAGGCGACCACCUGGACUGAUACUGACACUGAGGUGCGAAAGCGUGGGGAGCAAACAGGAUUAGAAACCCUGGUAGUCC
rnacentral:rRNA from 1 species